GUAAACAAAUCCCUUGUAGUUUCUAUUUUUAGAACUGAUAAGACGGUGAGCGGCUAGACGUCCAUGUUUUUUUUUUUUGUAAACAGUGAUGUUUUUCUAACUGCAUCAAUAUUCUUAAAACACAGAUUCUAUCAAUAUUUUUUUUUAUUAAUUCUGAUCAAAAUUCUAUCAAGCCAGCAAAAGUCUGUAUAUGAAAAAAGUCCCUGCCCAUCCCCCCUUCUGCAUAAUAACGUGCAAUGCAUUCACACGCCAUCCACCAUACAACAAGAAAAUUUAACAGAAGUGCCAUCCAUUAUCUAAAGGCAACAGAAAUAUAGCCGGGACUAUGCUUACUUGUCGCUGUCACCAUAUUGACUAACAUAAAAUCAACAGUUUUUACAUUUUGUUUGUAGUCAUUGCGUGACGUCACAUGUUUUAGAGAUUUCCUGAAAGAAAUCAUGCCAAAUAAGUUUAGACAUGUUGAGACAGCGACAGUCAAGUUAUCACACUGUCCCGAAACAUCCUGUUACGUUGUAUUUGGACAUCUCCAUAUAAUAUAAUUUAUUAUACUGCUUCACAUUCGUUUGAUGCCUGAUGAUUCUCUUCAGAAGUAACAUAAUAGUCCAACUAAUUUGAUGCGAUCCUAGGAAAUGUUGGGAUAAUUCUUUUCAUAUGGGCAGUAUCCCCACUUGCGUCAAACACUCGAAAGACCAAAAUAGUUGAAGCAAUUUCCGAUGAAAUUUUCAUCGCUGCCAACGCUUUACAUGCUAUAGGUUUAAAUGCCGAUUAUUUUCAAACAUUAGUCUUAAAUUCAAAUAAACUUACAUGUAUUGAACGGGGAUUCAAUUUCUCAAUGAUUUAUGCCAAAAUUAUCAAAUAAUAUCCAAAAUUACUUAUUUUCUGGUGAUUUAAAUGUAUGUAUGUACUGUACACGAUUAAAGUUUACCGUGUCUCUACAUGCAAAUAUGCGAAAACGCAAAACCAAUAACUUCACAUGACUGUGUACUGUGAUUUAUAUUCCAUUAUUUUGGUCCUUCAAAGUUUUGACGUUUAGAUUGCCCGUCACAAAUAUAAAACAAUCUGAACGGCGAAUUAUUUUGACUAGUAACAUAUAUGCCUCGUGCAGAAAACCUAGGAUCUGUUUUACAAAGACUUUGGUAUGUCUGAGUUUAGUCAGGCAUAAGUUUUCAUAAACCUUUACCCUGCUAAGUUUCUAAAAUGAACUGAUCCAUCGUUCAGUUUGGACAGUACCAUCUGUUUUUCGAAGGGGUGUUCACUGAAAAUUUACUGACUGAAUAGCGAACAGUGCAGACCAUGAUCUGCCUGCACAGAUGUGCAGGCUGAUCUUGGUCUGCACUGGUCGCAAAGGCAGAAUCACUUGUUGCUAGUAGGCUAAAGGUUAACCGUAAACUAGUUGUGAAACUGAUUCAAGGUUGUUUACAUCUAAAAUGCAAGACAGUAAAUUCUCAAAAUUUAUUUUAUGCAUGGGUGUACUACUGUUGUGUGUGCUUAAAAUGUAGAUUAUUACAAAUUAGCUCUAAUUUGAAAUUUUUUGCUGUUGACAGGUUUCCAUGUUGUCUGCUGUUGGAAGAACAUCUAUGAGGGACUGUGAAUAGAAUCUUUAUCUUCUGCUUAUAUACAACACUUACUUUGAUAAGUUGAUGACAAUGAAACUAAUGACCAUGUUAACAUCAGAGGAAAAGCAAACUGGGAGAAGAAAGGACAACAUUGUUUUCGAUCUUGAAGGCCUGCGUAGACAUAGGACCAGGAAGGGGAGCUAGGAGUGGGAGAAGUGCCUGUGACUGAUAUAUGCACUAUCAGAUAGAAAUCCAGUUCAAAAGGAAAUCUGAAAUAGUGAAAUAGCAGAAAUCAUGACUUACAUACUGUGUAAUCUGCUCUAAAACACAAACAUUUGAAUUUAAAAUGUGUUAAAUGCAAAACAGUUCUACUUACAAAAUGAAUCUUUCAGUAAAUUCUAAAUGCAGCUGAAAAGUGAUAUACAUGAAAUGUGUGAAAACAGUGCAAGUUAAGUUUGAUUUUUUGUUGUAUACAAAACUGAAGAACUUGUAUCCAAUUCAUUUUCUGGAUGCACAGUGUUAUUGGAAUUUUUUUCAGAUAAUUUAAAAUUCUACAAGGUGAAGAUAUUUCAAAUAGUAUCUCGAGAAAAAUAGUUUGCACAAUGAAUUGUUUUUCAAAAAUU